GCCUGGGUGGCUCAGUGGGUUAAGCGUCCGACUUCAGCUCAGGUCAUGAUCUCCCGGUCCGUGAGUUCAAGCCCCGUUUCAGGCU
rnacentral:tRNA from 1 species